GUCGGACUGGAGCUCUCUGCCCUUUACCAAUCCAGCCACGGGCCCAUCCAUCUGGCCCAUCAAGACUCACUCUCAUUUCAUCAGUCCAUAAAACCUUAGAAAAAUCAGUCCUGAGAUAUUUCUUGGCCCAGUCUUGACGUUUCAGCUUGUGUGUCUUGUUCAGUGGUGGUCGUCUUUCAGCCUUUCUUACCUUGGCCAUGUCUCUGAGUAUUGCACACCUUGCGCUUUUGGGCACUCCAGUGAUGUUGCAGCUCUGAAAUAUGGCCAAACUGGUGGCAAGUGGCAUCGUGGCAGCUGCACGCUUGACUUUUCUCAGUUCAUGGGCAGUUAUUUUGCGCCUUGGUUUUUCCACACGCUUCUUGCGACCCUGUUGACUAUUUUGAAUGAAACGCCUGAUUGUUCGAUGAUCACGCUUCAGAAGCUUUGCAAUUUUAAGAGUGCUGCAUCCCUCUGCAAGAUAUCUCACUAUUUUUGACUUUUCUGAGCCUGUCAAGUCCUUCUUUUGACCCAUUUUGCCAAAGGAAAGGAAGUUGCCUAAUAAUUAUGCACACCUGAUAUGGGGUGUUGAUGUCAUUAGACCACACCCCUUCUCAUUACAGAGAU